CGUCCUACCGUCGAAUCUUCGCGCGCGUCGCGUCGAGAGUGACAGUUCGAAAACUUCUUUUAUACGGAAGACAAAUGCUAGCGCUCGGGUCGCGAACGUCGCUACGUUGUCAAUAAAGUAACGGAACGCGGACAGUAGAGACUCCGAGGGAGCGUCGUGUACUCAUUACCGACUCAGAAAAUACCGUGGCAAUCUCGUGCGAUGUGUGUUCGCGUGGAGGCUGAACUGCGGUGACUCGUUGCGUUGGAACGACACGGACUUCACGGUAUACCGUUCAGUCACGUGGCAUCGGAAUAAAACGCGGAGAAUAGUAUCGGCGGUAUGUCGCGAUGUCAACAACCGGACAGACAAAACAGUGCCUAAACGUGACAUUGGUGCGUGUCUAGUGUGAUAAAAGGUGACGAACAUUGUUUAUAGUGACUCGCGUCGUCGUUCCCGCAGUUCGAACGUUCGAUUGAAACGAAGAGUGACAAAGGACCGAAAGUGUGAAUUGAAGGACAAUUUAACUGAGGAUUUAUUCAUCCAGCGAUAUCGUACUCUUACGUCUGACGGUGGUGCGUGUACGUAUGUAUAUUACGCUUCCAGCGAAGAAGAAUUGAACGAAGCUACCGAUCGAACAGUCGACGCGAAGCGUGGUGUAUCGUAAUAAAAUAACCGGUGGCGGCGAGCGUCAGAGAGAAGCAAGUGCGCGGUGCAGCGGUGUCGAGGCGCGAACGACGACAUAUUCCAAAUGCGUCUUGACCGGAAGUUGAGGAUCGUCGCAUUGGCAGGGUGGCAGAGGAUGCCCGGCUCGAGGGCAGCGGCGGGAGACGAGGUCGCAGCAGUAGCAGUAGCGUGCGUCAGGCGCUUCGGUAGCAGAGGUUCUCACUGAGCUGGCUUACCCUGCGGUGGAUUUAGGGGGCUGUAUGGAGGCCGGGGGGCUCCUGCCCCGCCAGCCCCCGCAAGGCCCCCCCGGCACCGCGCCUGGCCCGAUCUCGGUCUGCGUGGGCCAGGCUCCUAAUACAAAUAAUAAUAACGCCAACGUAAACAACCUGCAGAACAACGUUCUAGGCCAAUCAGCCGGGAUUCACGAUUUAAACGCGACCGGCCAGUUGAACGUAACCAGCCAACAGCUGCAGUUGCAGCAACAAAUGGGUCAAGCACCUGGCAUGGGUGAGGUACUCACCCCCAAGAGACAGGCGGUCGUCGAUCGUCUGAGACGAAGGAUUGAGAAUUAUCGGCGUAGACAAACCGAUUGCAUACCGAGAUUCGAUCAGAGCUUCAAUGGUCUGUGCGAGCAGAAUAUUCAGGACACUCUGGUGCUGAAGCAACGUUUCCUGGAGAGCAAGGCGAAAAGGCAGGCGAAGAAAACGGACAAGAAGCAGAGCGAGCCAGUCGGUCUCUCCAGCGUUCACGUGCAACAAAAAUUCGUGAAGAGGACGGCCGAGGAGUUGGAGCCUGCCGGUGGUGGUAGCGGAGACGGUGGCUUCGGCGAGCCCCCCGUGAAGCUGCAAUGCACGCAGGCACAGCAUCAGCACCAGCAGGGUCCCGGUGGCGGCGGUGGAGGUGGGCCCCAUCACGGCCACGGGCAGCAUCCUCCUGGGAACGGCGCGAACACAACAGGCCCUACUCACGGUGGUGGCGGCGGAGGCGGCGGUGGUGGCGGGAACGAGGGUUUGACCAAGUUCUCUGUGGAGAUCGUGCAACAACUGGAAUUCACCACGUCCGCGGCGAACUCUCAGGCUCAACAGAUUUCCACGAAUGUGACCGUGAAAGCGUUGACGAACGCGUCGGUGAAGAGCGAUCUGCUGAACGCGUCGUCGUCCCCAAAAUCGGGACCAGAUACUCCUGCAUCGGCCGCAUCGAGGCCUCAAACAGGGAACGGUGCCGGAGGCGGGCCAGGCGGUGGUAGCGGUGGCACCGGUGGACCGACUGCACCCGGUGGCAUCGGUUGCGUCGAUAUCGGUAACCUGGUUGAGUGCAAGCAAGAGCCUGACAACGAGUUCGUCGACUUGGAACAGUGCGCUGCUGCGCUGGAGAAAGACGCGGCAGCGAACGGGGCCGGAUUCCCUGGCUUCUCUGAUUUCAUGGGCGACGACACGGGCGACGAGAUUAUCACCUCUGAUGCGUUCAAGGACCUGAUUUCGGAGAUCUCAGACUUCCAUCCGGAGUUCAUGAAGGACUUCGAUUUCGAGGAGAAGAUCCCUGUGGAAGCCCUGGCUAAUAACGCGGCAGUGGCUGCCGCUGCGGCUGCCGCGGCGAAUAAUAAUAAUAAUAACAAUAAUAAUAAUAGCAUCGGGACAAACAACGGCCAGAUCAAGAUCGAGGACGACAAGGACGCUAUACAUCAGCAGCUCGGGAACGUGAACAAUAACACCGUGAACAACGGCACCAGCACUAACAACGGGAAUGCUAGCCUGCCCGCUAAUUCUAGCCCUGGAGCACUUGGCUCAGCCCAGUACUCGCCGGCCAGACUACCGUACUCCAGCCUGGACUUCAAGUCGGAGAUGAGUCCUGCCGCUCAGACGUUGAAACAGAUGGCUGAGCAGCAUCAGCACAAGAGUCAGCAGUUAGGGCUGGGUGGAUUCAAUCCUGGUGCCGCCGCCGCUGCUGCUGCUAGAGGACCUACUGCUCGUUCCCCUUACGCUGAGUUUCCACAAUUCGGUGGCACGUCGGACUACCUGGGCAGCCCUGGGAGUGCUGGUCCACCCGGUGGACAGUCCCAAGCGACUACUGGCACUGGUUCGUAUCACAAGAACAACGGCACGUCCGGUUUCCAGAGUCAGCAGACCAACGAUAUGUUUGUCGGCUCGCAAACCCAAUUUGCUGCUGGCCUGGCGGACAUGAAGAGACCGCAACCAGCCACCGGUGGCAAACCGACCAUGCUUGGGCCAAGCGGAGGAUAUAAGCAACAGUAUUCGCCGUACGGUAGCCCGGGAUCGAUGCCGAAUCACGGCAGCCCCGGUUAUCCGCUUCCACCGAGAGGCUCCCAGGGCGCUGGACCCAAUCAAACCGGAUCCCAGGGACCCUUCACUAGCUCUACGCCGCCGAGACCACCCUCAGGACCUGGCACCUCCACUCUGCAAAUUAACCAGGCACAGCAGCUACACAUCAACAAUCCCGGACAUCAGAUUCAGGUGUCCGCGGGCCAACACAUGCAGCUCACAGGCGAUUUGAAACCGGGCGUGUCCGUGGCGGCCCAACAGGGCAUGUACUUUAAUCAGCAACAGAGCCAAAAUCAGACCGGACCUGCCGGGCAAACCGAUACGUAUUGUUCGGUCUCACAAUCUCAGACCAUCAACUUCACCCAGCAGAGUCUGAGACAGAGGGCCGCCGCCGCAGCAGCGAGUGGCGUCCCUCAGCCAGCUGGCAAUGCUGCUUCACGCAACCACCCCCAGCAAGUACCGCCGAAUCAGGUGGAUCAACAUCAGCACGCGAAGAUCCUUCAGCAGCAGCAGCUGAUGCGCGCACAGCAGGUGAUGCAACAACAACAGCACAUGGCCGGAGGAAUGGGUGGCGUAAGACCGCCGCCUCCCGAAUACAAAGCGGCUCAGGCCCAAAUGAUGCACGCUGGUAUCGGUAUGGGUCAGCAAGCUAGGUUUCCCAAUACUGGGCCUAUGCGUAGGGUUACGCAACAGCCUAUGCCACCUUCGGGUCCAAUGAUGAGGCCUCAAAUGGCGCAGCAGCAACAACAGGCGUUGCAUGCUGCCGGUGGCAACAUGUACAUGGGCGGCGGAGGUAUGGCCGCCAUUGGUGGCAUGCAUCAGAUGCAUCAACGUCUCGGAUAUCCUAGGACUAACAAUCAACGGCCGCCUAACGUCAGCGUCGGUCCGCCCGAUGGCCUUGGGAAUAGCAUCGCAGGCCGCGGCGCCCAGCAGGAGUGGCGACACGUUCUCAUGCAGCAACAGGGCUUUCAAGCGCAGAUGCGAUCGCAGUUCAACCAACAAGGUCACCAAGGUGGAUUCGGUAUGGCUGGUACAGGUGGUAUGCAGAUGAACGCAGCCCAGAUGCAGCAUCAACAGUUGAUUCGCUCACAGAGCGGAGGUAUCGCUGGCUCCGGUAUGGCCAACAGCACUCAGAUGCAGCAGCUACUGUCGCAGCAACACCAGCAGCAGACAUUAGCCAUGCAGCAGAGUAGUAAUCAGAUGUCACUGCAGAUGCAAAUGUCGCAGUCCUCAUCAGUCAACUCUGUCAGCAGUACCGGAACCGGUUCCCCGCUGCAUCCGCAUCAGUACGGCGCGGGGAGUCCAGGAGUACGCAGCCUGCCACAGCAGCAACAGCAACACGCGCAACCGCCAGCCACCUCCACGGACCCGUCCGUAGCCGCGGCGGACUUUAGUCUCGAAUUUCUGGAGAACCUUCCGACCGGAGACACGUCGAACUUCAGCGCACAGGAACUGCUGAAUUCCCUUGACUCCACGGCGGGCUUCAACCUCGAUAUUCUGUAAGGCCACGCCUAUCGCGGUCUAUUCGGAAAAUCGGAUUUUAAUUCGCUCAAAGGCCGGUUUGAAUCGUGAAAAGAUAAAAGAGCAGAAAAAUGAGAAGGAAAAAAUGACGACGAUGCAUGUACGCAUUAGGAUCGAUCACCCCUGAGAAACACGCGCAACGUCCAUAAGCAGACUCGCCUGGCAUCACGCAGCUUUCUUCGUCGCGUGCUGCGCCGAUGAUUCAAACCUUCGCGUGAUGCGUAUAAGCCGUGUUUCCGGUUUUUGCGGAUAUGCCACUCGAUCUUCCAGGUUUUUGGAAAGAAGAAAGAAAGAAAGAAAGUAAAAAAGACGGGUAUAACGAUUGGUACAAGAUCGAUAAAAAUUAACGACGAUCGGAGCUGUUCUUUCUUACACUGUCGACAGUCGAUGUUGGUUAGGCAACGUUCAGCCGAAGAGGAGGAGAAAGAAAAGGCUCCCGGGUAUGUGUCAGUUCAUCGAGGAGUUUCGUGCCGGACAAAUAUACCUAAUUAUUUAUAAUAUUUAUAACUUUAUAUGAUAUACGGGCAUUUCGCAUAGA
rnacentral:misc_RNA from 1 species